rnacentral:lncRNA from 1 species
CUGCUGCCCGGCCAGCGGGCCAAAUGGCCACACGGGAAGGAGGGACAGAGGAGAAAAUAGUAGGCAAAGUGUUGGCGUGAGGCAGGUGGUGGAUGAGGCAGUCGCAAAGAGAAAGGAUUGCAACAUCAGGGAGGAGAUGAAAGGCCUCAUAUCAUUUUGCAGCCAACAAGAAACCUGAAGGAACUAAGUUUGGCUCUAUUUCUACAGCUUGUGAAAAGCUGAGAAUGGAAGCAAUGACUGGGCUAAUUCUGGACAAAAUUUUUUAAAAUGAUUUUUGUCAGAGGAGCCCAGAUCUUUGCCUCAAUUCUUUGCUUUUGUCUAAAUUGCUCAUUUUUCCAAAUUUCUGUAAGUAAUUUUUUAGGUGAUGUGAAUUGAUUUGCCUUUGGUAUACCGGACAAGAUUUUAUUUUAUUUUAUUAUUUUAUUUUUGAGACGGAGUUUCGCUCUUGUUGCCCAGACUGGAGUGCAGUGGUGUGAUCUCAACUCACUACAACCUCUGCCUCCCGGGUUCAAGCGAUUCUCCUGCCUCAGCCUCCUGAGUAGCCGGGAUUACAGGUGCCCGCCACCACACCGAGCUAAUUUUUGUAUUUUUAGUAGAGAUGGGGUUUCACCACGUUGGCCAGGCUGGUCUCAAACUCCUGACCUCAGGUGAUCCAUCUGCCUCAGCCUCCCAAAGUGCUGGGAUUACAGGUGUUAGCCACCGUGCCCAGCCUGGACAAGAUUAUUUGAGACAUCUCUGGUGGCCUAAAUCGUGAAGGGUUUGCCCCCUGUUUCCUUUUGUCCACUUUCCUCAUAGUGCCAUUUUGUUUUGUGCCUUCACUCAGCCUGAACUGGCUGGUGAAAGUGGCACAGCCAACUGUUGCCAGACAGUGAUGUCCUGUCAAAUUCCUGUACCUGCAUGGGUACGUUCUCAUGUUCUCUGAAAUAUUAUUCCUUUCCCUUAACAGAGCUCACCAGACAAGAAACAGAAAAGUGUUUUGAGUACUUUGAAUCAAAAGUGGUCUCUGAAUUUAAGGCAUUUUUAUUAUUUUAUGUGUUAUUUGUAGUUCAAAAGGGUCUUCCUAUUCAUCAUAGUAUUAGAGGCAUUUGAUGGAAAAGUAGUGUGCCAAGGUGAUUAGUGACAACAACAACAAAAGCAACUUAUUUUUGAGCCUGUGAAAGGCCCUCUUCUAGACACUUUAUACAACAGCUGUAUCCUUAUUGAUAGCCCUGCAAGAAAAGCUAUUUUCCAAGAAGAAAAAGAAAAUGGAAGUACAAAUUUCCAACAGCACACAUUUUCUCUGCUCUCUCCUUGGCUCUGAAAGAGGAUGCGUGAAACAGAAUUUCAGGCUGUAAUUAAUGCAGCUCUUCAUAAGAUAAGAGGUUCUUUUAUCUACAGAAAAAUUGCUGCACUAAUUCCCAACAAGAAGUGCAAUGCUCCGGUUAAUGCUCUUUCUACAAGAAGAAUUCACCUUUUCUACCCUCUACAUAUUUACAGACAAAUUUGAAUAUUUUGUUAUGGGAAACUGAAGAUGGGUAAACAUACAAUGAUAAUAGUACUUUAUAGGGCUAAAUCUAAAAGCCUUAAAGAUUAAUAUUAUGUUUGGAUAAAUGCUGAAUAAGUUUACAUAAAGAAUUUUCAAAUAACAUUGACGCUACAGGCAUGUACUUGUAAGCACAGACCUUAAUUGGGCACAACUUAGAUCCAGCACUCUUUGAGGGGGAGAAUAAACAAAUUGGGAAAUGCAUCCUCAUUUGAUACAGUGAGGAAAAAGAGCUAUGGUUCCUUGCUCUGCUUUAAAGUACUGUCCAAAGAAGGAUGAAGCCCCGCUAUUUCAUUUUGAUUUAAAUAUUUCCUUGUAGAAUGCACAUUCCAAUUUGGAAACAAUACUUUCUAUAUGUAUGUUUCAUGUAUGUGCUUGGAAUAAUUGGUAAUGUGUUGGCACUGUGUUCCACUUAAAUGCAUGGCAUUUGUAUACUAUUUAAUGUUUUGUUGUUGUUGUUGUUUUUGAGAUGGAGUCUCAGUCUGUUGCCCAGGCUGGAGUGCAAUGGUGUGAUCUAGGCUCACUGCAACCUCUGCCUCCCGGGUUCAAGCAAUUCUCCUGCCUCAGCCUCCUGAGUAACUGGGAUUACAGGCGCCUGCCACCACGCCUGGCUAAUUUUUUUUUUUUUUUUUUUUUUUUUUUUUUUUUUUUUUUUUAGUAGAGAUGGGGUUUCUCCAUGUUGGCCAGACUGGUCUUGAACUCCUGAACUCAGGUGAUCCACACACCUUGGCCUCCCAAAGUGCUGGGAUUACAGGCGUGAGCCACUGCACCGGCCUUUUAAUGUUUUCUUAAAAACCAGUUUUCUAAGAAAAAAAGAAGAAUGGGAAUACAGCAAAUGAGUAGAAGACAGAGAUCACAAGAAUCGUGCCUGAGGUCCUGGCAAAGAAGACCCCACUGUAAGGCAGAAUGGCACCUCUGAUUCAUUGGCCCCUUUGUAUUGUUCUCAAUUUCUAUAUCCAUAAAUAAUAAGAUUUUCAUUCCCUUCCUUCCACUCUGUGAGGUGGAUGUGAAAUAGGUAGAGAGGUUUGUCACUGGGUGCAAGGCUAAGAUGCUCAGUUAAAGCAGGAAAUUACGUUGUUUGGCUGAGAAAUACGUGUAAUUUCUAAGUGUGAUUAUUGCAAGUAAAAAUGAGUGAUGUUUCAACAAGAGGGUUAUUGUAAUUCAGGGUAUAGCAACAAUUUUAAUGUAAGCGAGAAGAUGUUUGUAACACUUCCAAAAAAAUAGUACUGUAUCAGUCCAGUGUCCACUUUCCUCCAAACCUUCGUGCCCACGCACACACACAUAAAUACAUGCAGGAUUCCUGAGCAGGGAAGGAUCCUUUCUCACGUGUUCACAAAGAGACUUUUAAGCUCAGAACCUCUUGAGGGUGAGAAACUUUUCUUGGCAGACUAUCAACUGGUUCUGAGUGAACAAAUCCGACAGAGCCCUUUUCCUUGCUUCUUUUUGUUCAUAUUGUUCACCCUCUCACAGCAAGGAAGGCUGCUAGGUAGAGUAAGGGGACUCUCAAAGGAGAUGAAGGUAAAUUUUUCUGGAAUAGCUGCAGAGCAAUUCUAAUGCUUCAGUUAAUCUGUUACCUCUUUCCUUGCCCCUAGCCUUCAGUUUUCCUUUUGUAUCCUGAAAAUAACAUUGACAUUAAAUUGGGUCAGUGGAAAAAAAUCAGUCACCAACUGUUGCUUAUAAUUUUGCCCCCAAGAAAACAUUUGGUAACUAACCCUUAUCUAGAGUACACACUAUGCACAGCUCCUAGGGUGAUAUUUGAAUCUAUUCACCUUAGGGAAAGUUGUUGAUUCUUUUAGACUCAAAUUUCCACAAUCAGAAAAUUCACCUAAUGCCUUUCUAAUGUGUUAUGCUUCACAGAAGGAGUUUAAGAUCAGUGUAAAUAGAUAUACACCCAAUAGAAGUCAUUGCAAUAUACACGAGCAGACAUGUCCAAGUAUGCUUAUAGUUGCACUAUUCAAAUCAACCUAAACUACUUGAAAUUAAACGGCGAUUGACAGGAAAAUAAAAUGUGGCAUUCAAACAUGGAAUUCUAUAAGGCAGCAAAAAUGAACGGACUACAGCUACAUACAAUACAGAUGAAUCUUAAAAACAUAAUGCAUGAAAACAUAAGUUUCAAAGAUUACUAAUAACAUAAAACCCCCUCUACAUAAAAAAGUAACUUAAGGCCAGGCACAGUGGCUCAUGCCUGUAAUCCCAGUGCUUUGGGAGACCGAGGUGGGCGAAUCACCUGAGGUCAGGAGUUCAAGACCAGCCUGGCCAACAUUGUGCAACCCCGUCUCUACUAAAAACACAAAAAUUAGCCAGGUAUGGUGUUGCAUGCCUGUAAUCUCAGCUACUCAGGAGGCUGAGGCAGGAGAAUUGCUUGAACCCAGGAGGCAGAGGUUGCAGUGAGCCGGGAUCACGCCACUGCACUCCAGCCUUGGCAACAGAGUGAGACUCCAUCUAAAAAAAAAAAAAAAAGUAACUUAAAAAAUUAUUUAGUAGGUAUACCUACAGUGAUAAAACUACAUAAAAAUCCUAAGAGUAGUACUUACACUGGGGGUGGGAAGGCAGGGACAGGAAGAGGGAGAGUAGUACACAGGUGGAUUAUUGUCAGUGUUUCAAACAAACAUUUGUUCAUGUUAACUCAUUAUAUUAUUGAACAUUAAUAAUCAAAGGACCAUGCAUAAGGAAAAAACUGACACGGAAUAUCAAAGUAUUGGCAGAGAAAAACCAUGAUGAGUAUAUAGUGAUGUUCACAGUGAAAUGCCAUAGGAUACUCAGUUUUGUGCAAAAUAAAUAACAAAACUCAGAACUCAUCAUAAGGGAACAUGCCACAGAAUCUGACUCUGGCCACCUCUAAUCGUUCCUCAUGUCUGCUUUUUCAUUUGUUUGUUUGUUUUGAGACAGAGCCUUGCUCUGUUGCCCAGGCUGGAGUGCAGUGGCACGAUCCUGGCUCACUGCAACCUCUGCCUCCUGGGUUCAAGUGAUUUUCCUGCCUCAGCCUCCCAAGUAGCUGGGAUUACAGACGUGCACCACCACACCUGGUUAUUGUAUUCUUAGUAGAGACAGGGUUUCACCAUGUUGGCCAAGCUGUUUUCAAACUCCUGGCCUCAAGUGAUCCACCCACCUCAACCCCACAAAGUGCCUGUAACCACUGCACGAGGACUCCUCACGUCUGUUUGAUCCUUACCUGACUUCUUUGGGAACCAUCUUCCUUCUAGUUUGAAUCCCUAAUUGUAGAUAUUUCCUGUGACUUUAUCUUUGCUCCUCUUUUUUCUUCCCUAUAUAAUCUCUCACUGGAAGAGCACAACCACUCCCAUGGCUCCAACUGCCUUUCAGAUGCUCCCAAAUCCAUCCAUCCAACAUUGAUCUCCCACGGGUAGCAUUAAACCAACUGCUUCCAGGGUAAAUCCUCUAGGAUUCUAGCUAUUUUCUUUUUUCUUUUCUUUUUUUUUUUUUUUUUUUUUUUGAGACGGAGUCUCGAUCUGUCGCCCAGGCAGGGUGACCAGGAACUAGUCACUCAAGCUCUCUGUUAAUUUCCUCAUCUCUGAAAAGCGGUGUCUAUAGAUAUCAUUUCUAAGCUCCUGUUUCUAAAUUUCUAUGAAUUCAUGAAUUAUUGACUCUUCUUGACAUUAGCUAUUUGUCCAGGAUAUCACUAUUAUUCUAGGCUUAUCUUUGACUUAUUUCUAUUUUUGUGUGCUGAUUCCUAAUCUGAUGCCAAAUUUUGUCAUUUCUCUUAUUGAAAUGUCUCUCAAAUUUACCCCAUUUUAUCCAUUUCCUUGGUUUUCCCUUAGUCCUGGACCUAAUAAGUUUAGACUUAGAUUACUUGAAAGGUGUCCAGACAGGUUUCCCUGCUUCCUGUCCCCUCCUUCAUUCAAGUCCUCUGACACACCACUUCUAGAUUAUUCAUGAAAAUAUAAUAAAAAUUGUCACACCCACUUAAGAGCAUUCUUAUUUAAUUCUGUGUUAUCUACUAAAGCAAUUCCAAUAUCUCUGGCUAGUUUAAGACCCUCCAUGACUCCAUGUGACUGAUCUCUCCAGCUUUCUUACCACUCCUCAGCACUUAAACUGCAUUGAAACGAGUGUCAUUGAAGUCACACAAGCAUGUACCUAAACUCCAGCUUCUAAGCCUUUAUCCAUGCCAAUUCCUCAAACUAAAAUGUUCUCUUUCUCUUUUUUCCCAAAGAUGUGCAUUUUUCAAGGACCAACUAAAAUUCCACCUAUUUAGAGCUUUCUCUAGCAUUUCAAGUCUCUGUUAAACUUUCUUCUCACCUAAAUACAACAGCAGCUAAAACUCGAUGAUGGACAAUUGAUUAUUGCUUCUUAAUUUUUCAAAGCAUUGUUUGUUUUAAUCUCCCAACCAAAUUAAAAUAUUCCUAAAGGCAGAAAUCAUGUCUCAAAUCUUUCUUAUAGUUUCCUUUCUUAUGGUUUCUUAUUCAUUGAAUAAAUAUUAAUCUCAAGUGCUGAAAGUGUGUACAUCCUAAAUAAAAUCAGUAUCUAUGAGGAUAUGUUCAAUUUAACCUUUAUUGAGCACUACUUUUAUAAGGGUCUGUGAUAGUCAUGAGGGACUUGAAACUUGAAUACAUAAUUCUCCUUGAGAAGCUCAGACUCUUUUAAAUUUGGAGUAAUACAUUCUACUACCUGU